CAGUAGCCACGGUAAUACAGAGGGUGCAAGCGUUAAUCGGAUUUACUGGGCGUAAAGGGCGCGUAGGUGGUUAUUUAAGUGAGAUGUGAAAGCCCCGGGCUUAACCUGGGAACUGCAUCUUAUACUGGGUAACUGGAGUGCAGUAGAGGGUAGUGGAAUUUCCGGUGUAGCGGUGAAAUGCGUAGAUAUCGGAAGGAACACCAGUGGCGAAGGCGGCUACCUGGACUGAGACUGACACUGAGGCGCGAGAGCGUGGGGAGCAAACAGGAUUAGAUACCCCCGUAGUCCCUGUCUCUUAUAC
rnacentral:rRNA from 1 species